CAGCCGCCGCGGUAAUACCGGCGGCCCGAGUGGCGGUCACUAUUAUUGGGCUUAAAGCGUCCGUAGCCGGGUUGGGAAGUCCUCCGGGAAAUCUGGCCGCUUAACGGUCAGAAUGCCGGAGGAUACUCCCAGCCUAGGGAGCGGGGGAGGCCGAGGGGAUUCCCGGAGGAGGGGUGAAAUCCUAUAAUCCCGGGAGGACCACCUGUGGCGAAGGCGCUCGGCUGGAACGCGUCCGACGGUGAGGGACGAAGGCCAGGGGAGCAAACCGGAUUAGAUACCCGGGUAGUCCUGGCUGUAAACGAUGCGGACUUUGUGUCGGACAAGCUAUGAGCUUGUCCGGUGCCGGAGGGAAACCGUUAAGUCCGCCGCCUGGGGAGUACGGCCGCAAGGCUGAAACUUAAAGGAAUUGGCGGG
rnacentral:rRNA from 1 species